rnacentral:rRNA from 1 species
UACGUAGGGUGCAAGCGUUAAUCGGAAUUACUGGGCGUAAAGCGUGCGCAGGCGGUUAUGCAAGACAGAUGUGAAAUCCCCGGGCUCAACCUGGGAACUGCAUUUGUGACUGCAUGGCUAGAGUGCGGCAGAGGGGGAUGGAAUUCCGCGUGUAGCAGUGAAAUGCGUAGAUAUGCGGAGGAACACCGAUGGCGAAGGCAAUCCCCUGGGCCUGCACUGACGCCUCGAUGCACGAAAGCGUGGGGAGCAAACAGG